CGCACCUUGCACCCUCUGGUAUUCCGGAGGGUAUGCCUGUUUGAGUGUCAUGAAGCAUCAACCCCGUCGGGAGACCGCUCGGUUGGAUUUGGGUGUCUGCCGUUCCACGGCUCGCCUUAAAAGCAUUAGCGACGUCGGCUCUGGACUCUUGCGAAUUAGGUUACGCUCGAGGCCGUUGUGCGACCCGCUCACAGUCUGCCCUCGGGCACUUCAUUCGACUUGACCUCAGAUCAGGUAGGACUACCCGCUGAACUUAA
rnacentral:misc_RNA from 1 species